rnacentral:rRNA from 10 species
CUGCCUUGGCAGCCCCUGGCCCACAGCAGCUUGAGGUUGCCCGAGCCAGGAAGCUAAUAAGGGUGAGGCCAGGCUGGGGCUUGGAUGGGAGACCACCUGGGGAUACCAGUGGCU